AGCCUGAUGCAGCCAUGCCGCGUGUGUGAAGAAGGCCUUCGGGUUGUAAAGCACUUUAGCGGAGGAAGGCAUUGUACUUAAUACGGCAGUGUUGACGUUAGCGGCAGAAGAAGCACCGGCUAACUCCGUGCCAGCAGCCGCGGUAAUACGGAGGGUGCGAGCGUUAAUCGGAAUUACUGGGCGUAAAGCGCAUGCAGGCGGUCUGUUAAGCAAGAUGUGAAAGCCCCGGGCUUAACCUGGGAACCGCAUUUUGAACUGGCAGGCUAGAGUCUUGUAGAGGGGGGUAGAAUUUCAGGUGUAGCGGUGAAAUGCGUAGAGAUCUGAAGGAAUACCGGUGGCGAAGGCGGCCCCCUGGACAAAGACUGACGCUCAGAUGCGAAAGCGUGGGGAGCAAACAGGUUAGAUACCCUGGUAGUCCACGCCGUAAACGAGCUCUGCUGUAGUCUUGAACUGUGGCUUUCGGAGCUAACGCGUUAAGUAGACCGCCUGGG
rnacentral:rRNA from 1 species